rnacentral:rRNA from 1 species
AUUGAACGCUGGCGGCAGGCCUAACACAUGCAAGUCGAGCGGAUGAAGGGAGCUUGCUCCUGGAUUCAGCGGCGGACGGGUGAGUAAUGCCUAGGAAUCUGCCUGGGAGUGGGGGGUAACGUCCGGAAACGGGCGCUAAUACCGCAUACGUCCUGAGGGAGAAAGUGGGGGGUCUUCGGACCUCCCGCUAUCAGAUGAGCCUAGGUCGGAUUAGCUAGUUGGUGGGGUAAAGGCCUACCAAGGCGACGAUCCGUAACUGGUCUGAGAGGAUGAUCAGUCACACUGGAACUGAGACACGGUCCAGACUCCUACGGGAGGCAGCAGUGGGGAAUAUUGGACAAUGGGCGAAAGCCUGAUCCAGCCAUGCCGCGUGUGUGAAGAAGGUCUUCGGAUUGUAAAGCACUUUAAGUUGGGAGGAAGGGCAGUAAGUUAAUACCUUGCUGUUUUGACGUUACCAACAGAAUAAGCACCGGCUAACUUCGUG